UACGAAGGGGGCUAGCGUUGUUCGGAGUUACUGGGCGUAAAGGGCGCGUAGGCGGCGCACCAAGUCAGGCGUGAAAGCCCUGGGCUCAACCCGGGAAUUGCGCUUGAGACUGGUGUGCUUGAGUACGGGAGAGGAUAGUGGAAUUCCCAGUGUAGAGGUGAAAUUCGUAGAUAUUGGGAAGAACACCGGUGGCGAAGGCGGCUCACUGGCUCGUUUCUGACGCUCAGGCGCGACAGCGUGGGGAUCAAACAGG
rnacentral:rRNA from 1 species